GCUCAGGAUGAACGCUGGCGGUAUGCCUAACACAUGCAAGUCGAACGCAGUCUUAGGACUGAGUGGCGGACGGGUGAGUAACGCGUGAGAACCUGCCCUUAGGACGGGGAUAACAGUUGGAAACGACUGCUAAGACCCGAUGAGCCGAGAGGUAAAAAAUUUAUUGCCUAAGGAGGGGCUCGCGUCCGAUUAGCUAGUUGGUGAGGUAAGAGCUUACCAAGGCGACGAUCGGUAGCUGGUCUGAGAGGAUGAGCAGCCACACUGGGACUGAGACACGGCCCAGACUCCUACGGGAGGCAGCAGUGGGGAAUUUUCCGCAAUGGGCGAAAGCCUGACGGAGCAAUACCGCGUGAGGGAGGAAGGCCCUUGGGUUGUAAACCUCUUUUCUCAGGGAAGAAGAAAGUGACGGUACCUGAGGAAGAAGCCUCGGCUAACUCCGUGCCAGCAGCCGCGGUAAUACGGAGGAGGCAAGCGUUAUCCGGAAUUAUUGGGCGUAAAGCGUUCGCAGGCGGUUAAGCAAGUCCGCAGUCAAAGACCGGAGCUCAACUCCGGAGAGGCUGUAGAAACUGCAUAACUAGAGUGCGGUAGGGGUAGAGGGAAUUCCCAGUGUAGCGGUGAAAUGCGUAGAUAUUGGGAAGAACACCAGUGGCGAAAGCGCUCUACUGGACCGCAACUGACGCUCAGGGACGAAAGCUAGGGUAGCGAAAGGGAUUAGAUACCCCUGUAGUCCUAGCCGAAACGAUGA
rnacentral:rRNA from 1 species